GGAUCUGAGCUUUUCCAUUUCAGGGUAGCAGUUAUUCCUGGAACCUCCUUUUGUAGCCUAGUUGAUGAAUUUCAGAUUUAUGUUGAUGAUGCUCCAUUGGCUUUCCCGGGAGAUUAUCUUAUCACUUCAAUUACGUCUGUGCUAAUAGGAUGUACUAUAUUUGUGGCAUUUAUUCUGCAAGCAUAUGACAUUCAGGUGUGGAGCAUUUUGAAGGAGAAACUGAAUCAAAUAAGCAAAGUGACUCCAAAAGCCUCACUACAUGCCUUUUCAAUAGCUUCAACUACAAUGAAAAAUGACAGUCAACAGUCAUAGCCAAGUUUCUCUCUCUCUUUUUUUUUACAAUUUAGUAAUUUUGUACCUUAUUUGAGACAUGAAAUAGUUAUAGCUUUUGUUAGGAAAAUAUUUUUCAGAAUAUGUAAAAAAAAACCUGUUUUCCUGUUUAACAUGUUUCCUUGUUGUUCAGUAUGCAAGUUGGGGUCACUGUUUGACAUGUUAGAAUUUUAUUUGUGAGUGUAAUGUUAAUAAAUAUAUAACUGCCCAUA